GACGAACGCUGGCGGCGUGCUUAACACAUGCAAGUCGUACGGUAAGGCCCUUUCGGGGGUACCCGAGUGGCGAACGGGUGAGUAACACGUGAGUAACCUGCCCACAACUUUUGGAUAACGCUAGGAAACUGGUGCUAAUACUGGAUAUGUUCUCCUGCUGCAUGGUGGGGGUUGGAAAGCUCCGGCGGUUGUGGAUGGGCUCGCGGCCUAUCAGCUUGUUGGUGGGGUAGUGGCCUACCAAGGCGGCGACGGGUAGCCGGCCUGAGAGGGUGACCGGCGACAUUGGGACUGAGAGAAGGCCCAGACUCCUACGGGAGGCAGAAGUGGGGAAUAUUGAACAAUGGGCGCAAGCCUGAUGAAGCAACGCCGCGUGCGGGAUGACGGCCUUCGGGGUGUAAACCGCUUGCAGCAGGGACGAAGCUUUUUGUGACGGUACCUGCAGAAGAAGCACCGGCUAACUACGUG
rnacentral:rRNA from 1 species